rnacentral:rRNA from 1 species
CCUACGGGAGGCAGCAGUGAGGAAUAUUGGUCAAUGGACGCAAGUCUGAACCAGCCAUGCCGCGUGCAGGAAGACGGCCCUAUGAGUUGUAAACUGCUUUUGUACGGGGGUAAACGCAGGUACGUGUCUCUGUCUGAAAGUAUCGUACGAAUAAGGAUCGGCUAACUCCGUGCCAGCAGCCGCGGUAAUACGGAGGAUUCGAGCGUUAUCCGGAUUUAUUGGGUUUAAAGGGUGCGGAGGCGGAAGGUAAAGUCAGCGGUAAAAUUGGGGGGCUCAACCUCUUCGAGCCGUUGAAACUGGUUGUCUUGAGUGCGCGAGAAGUAUGCGGAAUGCGUGGUGUAGCGGUGAAAUGCAUAGAUAUCACGAAGAACUCCGAUUGCGAAGGCAGCACACUGGCGCUCAACUGACGCUGAUGCACGAAAGUGUGGGUAUCGAACAGGAUUAGAUACCCCAGUAGUC